rnacentral:rRNA from 1 species
CAAUAGCGUAUGUUAAAGUUGUUGCAGUUAAAAAGCUCGUAGUUGAAUUUUUGCUUGCCGCCGAUGUCGGAACUUCCGUACGUUCGGCGGCGUGCAUCCUUGGGUGGAACCUGUGUGGCAUUAGGUUGUCGUGCAGGGGAUGCUCAUCGUUUACUGUGAAAAAAUUAGAGUGUUCAAAGCAGGCUUACGCCGUUGAAUAUAUUAGCAUGGAAUAAUAAGAUAGGACCUUGGUACUAUUUUGUUGGUUUGCGCACCGAGGUAAUGAUUAACAGGGACAGUUGGGGGUAUUCGUAUUCCAUUGUCAGAGGUGAAAUUCUUGGAUUUCUGGAAGACGAACUACUGCGAAAGCAUUUACCAAGGAUGUUUUCAUUAA